AAUAACAAGUAAAUAAGAGGUUUUAUGAAAAGGAAUUUUGAAGUAUAAAAAGAUCGCCCUUAAUUUUGGAAAUAUUUUUACAAAUAGCCGUUGGAAGUCGAAAGGUUUGGGUCGGUGUAUAUCGGCGAUAUAGAUAGAUGCGCUCUUCAGUCGUUCUUCUCUCGGUCUGGAGACUAUAGCCAUAUCCGCAAUCCAAUAAAUUAUCAACAUCUCUAUUAUAAAAGAUAAAAGUUUCAGGCUGUUGAAUUGCUCCUUUGUUGUCUGCAAUUACAGUGAUUUAACAAGAAUUCAAACAUCAGAUAUAUCGUUUCCCAGUACCUGAUUUCAAUGUUUUAAUAAUGACAUUUUGAAAAACAGAUUAUGUAUUAAUUGAAUAAUUGAAUUUCUUUACCUCGAUUGAA